CCAUUAGCAACUCCUGGACGCUGCAGAGAGCUCUCCACAGGGUCUGGGGGGAAUAUUUCUAUGGAGGUAGCUGAUCCCCUUUCCACAUAGAAGGGAGUCAAUGUACAAAAGGGGCAGCCCAUCUUGCUGGAGAUAGUGGAUGAGUGACAUAUCUGUAUGCAGAAAAGCACAUGACUACGUACAAUGUGGCCUUCAGGGGAACCCACUACACACCAGCAGAGUGCCUCUGCCAGAUAAGGAAGCGACCAAAGCAAAGCAAGGAGGGCAUGUUCAAAGAGGUGUUCCAAUCCUCAGAAGCUGAAAAAAGAGAAUGCAGGGAGUGGAGAGAGACCCUCAAGGAGAAAUUUUAAAAUAGAAAGGCAGGACAGAAAGGAGAGUGAGGAGUGCAUUUUAAAGGACCAGGAGCAGAUGAUAAAAGUGAUGGAGGAGCAAACAGAUGUUGAAGUCCCUAAUCACACUCCAGACAGAACACAUGCGUGCUCGCCCCCCAUCCCACCCCGCAGCCGAUACAGAACUGCUUUCUAAGCCCUCCCCAAACUCCUCUCACACACUCCUUACAACUUCCUGGUACAUCUCUGUACCCUGUUCACUCCACCCCUUCAGACUGCUUCCAAAAUGAUAGCUGGACUUACACACAGCUAUGAGAGCCUACACUGCCCUUCACUGUUAUCUCCCUUCCCACGAACUCUUG